AGAACGAACGCUGGCGGCGCGUCUAAGCAUGCAAGCGAACGGCAAGAGGUAGCAAUACCUCCUAGAGUGGCGGACUGGUGAGUAACACGUGGGUGACAUACCCUUCAGAUGGGGAUAGCUAUUAGAAAUAGUAGAUAAUACCGAAUACGAGCACAGGGGUUAGAGAUCUGUGAGGAAAGGAGCUAAGGCUCCGCUGAAGGAAUGGCCUGCGGCCCAUUAGCUAGUUGGUGAGGUAAGAGCCCACCAAGGCGAUGAUGGGUAUCCGGCCUUAGAGGGUGAACGGACACAUUGGGACUGAGAUACCGGCCCAGACUCCUACGGGAGGCAGCAGCUAAGAAUAUUCCGCAAUGGACGAAAGUCUGACGGAGCGACGCCGCGUGGAUGAAGAAGGCCGGAAGGUUGUAAAAUCCUUUUGAAACUGAAGAAUAAGCGUUGUAGGGAAUGACAGCGUGGUGACAGUAGGUUUUGAAUAAGCAACGGCUAAUUACGUGCCAGCCGCGGC
rnacentral:rRNA from 1 species